UACGGAGGGAGCUAGCGUUGUUCGGAAUUACUGGGCGUAAAGCGCGCGUAGGCGGCUUUGUAAGUUAGAGGUGAAAGCCUGGAGCUCAACUCCAGAAUUGCCUUUAAGACUGCAUCGCUUGAAUCCGGGAGAGGUGAGUGGAAUUCCGAGUGUAGAGGUGAAAUUCGUAGAUAUUCGGAAGAACACCAAUGGCGAAGGCGGCUCACUGGACCGGCAUUGACGCUGAGGUGCGAAAGCGUGGGGAGCAAACAGG
rnacentral:rRNA from 1 species